UAAUAAUAAUAAUAAUAAUAAUAAUAAUUUAUUUCUGGUUUGUGUUUGCAAGGCGAGUUCUGGCUGGUUGGAGCAGACGUCCCCCAGAAGACCGAAGUGUGUGGAGUGGAUUAUACCAAAGAAGACUCUUUCCUAUCCAAUACAAAUUGUUCUCCCACUUUCAAUGUAAAUCUUAAAAUCAUAAAUAAAAUUUUAAAAACACCCAUGAUCUACAUAAAAUGUUAUUAAUGUGCAAAUUUGUUUACAUUUUUUCAGUUUAAGAUGAAUAAUCAAAUAAAGAUUUUUUAAAUGUUC
rnacentral:lncRNA from 11 species